CAUGACGGCAUCGUGGAUUCGGCGUGAUUGACGGCGGUUCGUGGAUUCGGAUCGUGAGCUUCGUGGAUUCGGAGUGGAGGCGUUUCGUGGAUUCGAACGUGAGGGCGUGAACAACCCGGAGGAUUGCGCGAGAUUCAUAGAAGGUUAAGAGAGGUCGAGUCCGUGGAGUCGGUAAUCACCUUGUAAUCUUUUCUCUUAGUGAAUUAUUUUUUCGCCUGUUGGUCCCGUG
rnacentral:lncRNA from 1 species